rnacentral:rRNA from 1 species
UACGUAGGGCGCGAGCGUUGUCCGGAAUUAUUGGGCGUAAAGAGCUCGUAGGCGGCCUGUUGCGUCCGCUGUGAAAACCCGGGGCUUAACCCCGGGCUUGCAGUGGAUACGGGCAGGCUGGAGGCAGGCAGGGGAGAACGGAAUUCCCGGUGUAGCGGUGAAAUGCGCAGAUAUCGGGAGGAACACCGGUGGCGAAGGCGGUUCUCUGGGCCUGUACUGACGCUGAGGAGCGAAAGCGUGGGGAGCGAACAGG